rnacentral:rRNA from 1 species
GUGGAUAACCUACCUAUAAGACUGGGAUAACUUCGGGAAACCGGAGCUAAUACCGGAUAAUAUUUUGAACCGCAUGGUUCAAAAGUGAAAGACGGUCUUGCUGUCACUUAUAGAUGGAUCCGCGCUGCAUUAGCUAGUUGGUAAGGUAACGGCUUACCAAGGCAACGAUGCAUAGCCGACCUGAGAGGGUGAUCGGCCACACUGGAACUGAGACACGGUCCAGACUCCUACGGGAGGCAGCAGUAGGGAAUCUUCCGCAAUGGGCGAAAGCCUGACGGAGCAACGCCGCGUGAGUGAUGAAGGUCUUCGGAUCGUAAAACUCUGUUAUUAGGGAAGAACAUAUGUGUAAGUAACUGUGCACAUCUUGACGGUACCUAAUCAGAAAGCCACGGCUAACUACGUGCCAGCAGCCGCGGUAAUACGUAGGUGGCAAGCGUUAUCCGGAAUUAUUGGGCGUAAAGCGCGCGUAGGCGGUUUUUUAAGUCUGAUGUGAAAGCCCACGGCUCAACCGUGGAGGGUCAUUGGAAACUGGAAAACUUGAGUGCAGAAGAGGAAAGUGGAAUUCCAUGUGUAGCGGUGAAAUGCGCAGAGAUAUGGAGGAACACCAGUGGCGAAGGCGACUUUCUGGUCUGUAACUGACGCUGAUGUGCGAAAGCGUGGGGAUCAAACAGGAUUAGAUACCCUGGUAGUCCACGCCGUAAACGAUGAGUGCUAAGUGUUAGGGGGUUUCCGCCCCUUAGUGCUGCAGCUAACGCAUUAAGCACUCCGCCUGGGGAGUACGACCGCAAGGUUGAAACUCAAAGGAAUUGACGGGGACCCGCACAAGCGGUGGAGCAUGUGGUUUAAUUCGAAGCAACGCGAAGAACCUUACCAAAUCUUG